rnacentral:lncRNA from 1 species
UUUGGAGUUGAUAUGACUUUGUAAGAGCUUUGCAAAGUAGAGGUUUGUUUCGGAUGACUUGGGUUUUAUGAAAUAAAAUAGGGUUUAUGUUUUGAGUGAUUUCGAGAGUUUUGUUGCAGAUCUAUAAGUGAAAUUUUUUGGGUUCAUGAUUAUAGUUGUGUUAAAUACAUGUUGUGAAUUUGAGCUCGAUCUAACAGUUGAAGUGAGAGAUAUUGAGGUUUAAGUGGAUCAAGGUCUUAGAAAGUAGAAUUUUAGGUCUAGUGAGGGUUUUUAAGAUUUCAUGCAAUCUACUAGUUGGAUUGGAGUAAAACUUAUGUGAGAGGGUAUUAGACUUGUUUUUCUAUGUCCAUGAGAAAUUUGAAACCAAUCGAACGGCACAAAGAAGAGAAAUUGGCUCUAGAAGGUUGGCAUCAAGAUUGGAGAAGGAGGCCGGCUAACACUCAAACACAUUUUUGAGGUUUUCGUCAAUUUGGUAACUCCGAUCCUUUUCAAAUUUAUUUGUACUUAUUUUAAAUUUGAUUUUUAAGAAGUAUGCAAAUUUUGAAUUGAGAUCAACGGUUUAUUCAUUAGAUAUUGAGGUUUAAAUCUGUCAUAGGAAUUACUAGGAUUUGGAUUAGGGCUUGGCUAGGGUUCGAUUUAGGGUUUGAUUUAGAGUUUAGGGGUUGGAUUAGGGUUUGGAUUAGGAUUUAGAAUUUGGUGAGGAUUUGAUUUAGGAUUUGGAUUAGGGUUUGGAUUAGGAUUUGGAUUAGAGUUUGGAUUAGGGUUUAAGGUUUGGUUAGGAUUUGAUUUAGGAUUUGAAUUAGGAUUUGGAUUAGGAUUUAGGAUUUGGUUAGGGUUUGAUUUAGGGUUUGGAUUAGGGUUUAGGAUUGGAUUAGAGUUUGGAUUAGGAUUUAGGAUUUGGUUUAGGAUUUGAUUUAGGAUUUGGUUUAGGAUUUAGGGUUUGAAAUAGGGUUUGAUUUAGGAUUUAAUUUAAGAUUUGUUUAGGAUUUGACUUAGGAUUUAGGAUUUAUUAGGAUUUAGGAUUUAUUAGGGUUUAAUAUUUAAUUAGGUUUGGUCUAAAGUUUGAGUGAAAUUCAAUAGGAUUUUAACUAGAAUUAAAUUAAGGUUGAAUUAACAUAUAUUUGAGUAAUAUUUGUGUUUAUUCUAAUAUUUCUUUAAGAAUUUUAUUAUUUGUUUGAAAUUUCUGUGAAUUGUUUUGAAUUUGAUUACGUUUGUUUACCAUUAUUAUAGUCUAAUUAGAGCAUUGUUAGUAUUCUAUUAGAAUUAGGAUUUUGUUAUCGCAAUUUCUAUUCUUCCUUCUACAGCCAGGUGCCCGGAGCAUUCUCAAGCAAGACUUCACAGAUUACGACAACGCUGCAUAAAUAGGAGUGGAUCUAUGUAGAAUAGAUAUUAGUUUGUUUUUGUAAGAUAUUAGUAAAAUAGAUUAAUAGUCCAUAGAAUAGUCAGUUCAGGAGGACGGAUGGUUGAUUUAGUUAUGAAAAGUCGUUUAUUACAAGAUUACGGUUAGGAUUUGGAAAUCAAUAGGAAUUAUAUAGGAAU